AGGGUGUAAACGCUGCGGGCUUGGUAUUGGGGGUCCUUUGAGGGCGCCCAGUGCCGGAGAGAAGUUGUUAAGCCUGCUGCUUGGGGAGUACGUCCGCAAGGAUGAAACUUAAAGGAAUUGGCGGGGGAGCACCGCAACGGGAGGAGCGUGCGGUUUAAUUGGAUUCAACACCGUAAAACUCACCAGGGAAGACUGUUACAUGAAGGCCGAGAUGAAGACUCUGCUAGAUUUUCAGAGAGGAGGUGCAUGGCGUCAGUGACU
rnacentral:rRNA from 1 species